CGCGUAGGCGGUCUGAUAAGUAAGUUGUGAAAGCCCGGGGCUCAACCCCGGAAGUGCAAUUGAAACUGUCAGGCUUGAGUAUGGUAGAGGGAAGUGGAAUUCCUGGUGUAGCGGUGAAAUGCGUAGAUAUCAGGAGGAACACCGGUGGCGAAGGCGGCUUCCUGGACCAAUACUGACGCUGAGGCGCGAAGGUGUGGGUAGCAAACAGGAUUAGAUACCCUGGUAGUCC
rnacentral:rRNA from 1 species